ensembl:lncRNA
CUUUGCAAACAGUUUAUGUUUAUUAUAAAUGUAAAUAUAGAUCGUCACCUCGAGGAUGUCUAAUGAGGGAGUAUGAGGAUGUCCGACUGAGUGAGUGUCAGUGUGCACAUGCGCGUGUGUAAGCGUGCGAGAGAGAGAGAGAGGAAGCGGACGCGUCCCCCCGUUAUACCCAAACACCUCCACAUGUAGGUCUAAACUGCCACCCAGACCGCUACUGCACUGAUAUCAGGACCGGAGAGAGUGCUGGGGGUCGUAACACCUCACACCUCCUGCAGUUCCAUUCCAAGCUUUUUGGUCCUCCUGGGCCCUAGGAAAACAGAGAGAGCUAGAAAGAGCUGGAGAAAGAGUACACAGACAAAAUACACAACAUAUAGACAGAGAAAACAAAUGUUUACACUCUAGACAGCACAUCAGCAAUGAUAUCCUUCACACAGGUGUGGGUAAUGUUAAGGUGGAAGGACUGUUAAACUCCACCUCAUUAUCAGUUCUGAUUCCAUAUCCUGUUGAUGAAGACAAGUGGUCUGUUUAAACCUGGAUGGGGUUAGAUAAUGACCCCAAAUACCCUCCAAAAUGUUGGAGUGCUGGGACCGGGAACUCUUUCUCUAUGGUGGAAUAAACUCACUGAUGCUGGUGGAAUUCUUUAAUAAAAACAAACUGGCUGGUCAAUUCCAUCUGGGCCGGCCUGCAGGAGGACCAGACCUGCCCCGCAGUCCCUGGCAUCAGCAGCAAGCCUUCAGGUGGAAUAAGGUCUUUCCAUUAGCUGGAAUCAGAUUGGAAGUACGGGUGUUUUGCCCUUCAUGUAAAGAGACACAAAGUCUGGUUACUUACAAAUCUGUUGUUCUCAAGAACAGUUGCUUAGUGUGAACCAUGCCUCGAUCCCAUCGACUUUCACAGGAUCCUAGAUGACAUUAUAGAGAUGCACGAAGCUGGAAGAGACUACACAAGCAUUUUAAAGACCUGGGUGUUCAUCAAUCCAUGAUAAGACUCUGUCUGCAAAUGGAGGAAAUUCACGACUGUUGAUACUCUCUCUAGGAGUGGGUUUCCUUCAAAGAUCACACCAAGAGCACAAAGGGAAAUCCUGAAAGAGGUGAGAAAGAACCCGGGGGUAACAGCAAAAAACCUGCAGCAAACUCUACAACCUGCAAAAGUCUUUGUUCAUGUCUCCACUGUCAGGAAAAAUACUGCAUAAAAAUGGUGUGAAACCACUGCUGGCCAAAAAAGUCUCUCUUUAUGCGGACUUAUGGGGCACUCUGGGUUAGGGGUCGGGAUAUAGAAUAUUUAAGAAAGAAAAUGCAACAUGCAAUAGGGAAAGUAGAACCGUUGGCAAAUGAAUGGGGAUUUAAACUGUUAAUUGCAAAAUCACAAGAUAUAUGUUUCCCUAAACGUCAUAAAACAGUACCACUUAAAUGAUAUGGGCUAUCAUAUGUCUUAUAUCUUGAACAGGUCACGGCUGUGAGAUUUUUAGGAGUGAUUUUUGAUGAGAAGCUGACCUGGGGUCUGCAUAUUGAUAAAAUUAAAAACAAAUGUAAAAAGAUUAAUAAUGUUCUGAGAUUUCUGUCAGGGCGAGACUGGGGAGCAAGAAGAGCAUCGCUCAUAAAUAUCUAUCAGGCUCUUAUGAGAGCUGCCUGUGAUUAUGGCUGCCUAGCAUAUACAGUAUCUCACAAAAGUGAGUGCACCCCUCACAUUUUUGUAAAUAUCUGAUUAAAUCUUUUCAUGUGACACACUGAAGAAAUGACACUGUGCUACAGUGUAAAGUAGUGAGUGUACAGCUUGUGUAACAGUGUCAAUGUGCCGUCCCCUCAAAAUAACUCAACACACAGACAUUAAUGUCUAAACCGCUGGCAACAGAAGUGAGUACACCCCUAAGUGAAAAUGUCCAAAUUGGGCCCAAAGUGUCAAUAUUUUGAUUGGCCACCAUUAUUUCCCAGCACUGCC